UGCCAGCCGCCGCGGUAAUACGAAGGGACCUAGCGUAGUUCGGAAUUACUGGGCUUAAAGAGUUCGUAGGCGGAUUGGAAAGUUGGGGGUGAAAUCCCGGGGCUCAACCCCGGAACUGCCUCCAAAACUAUCAGUCUAGAGUUCGAGAGAGGUGAGUGGAAUUCCAAGUGUAGAGGUGAAAUUCGUAGAUAUUUGGAGGAACACCAGUGGCGAAGGCGGCUCACUGGCUCGAUACUGACGCUGAGGUGCGAAAGUGUGGGGAGCAAACAGGAUUAGAUA
rnacentral:rRNA from 1 species